GACGAACGCUGGCGGCGUGCUUAACACAUGCAAGUCGAACGGAAAGGCCCUGCUUGCCGGGUACUCGAGUGGCGAACGGGUGAGUAACACGUGGGUGAUCUGCCCUGCACUUCGGGAUAAGCCUGGGAAACUGUGUGUAAUACAGGAUAGGAGCCAUUUUUAGUGAGAUGGUUGGAGAGUUUUUUGGGUGUAGGUUGAGGUCGCGGCCUAUCAGCUUGUUGGUGGGGUAAUGGCCUACCAAGGCGGGGACGGGGAGCCGGCCUGGGAGGGUGGAGGGCCACAUUGGGACGGGGAAACGGCCCAGACUCCUACGGGAGGCAGCAGGGGGGAUGAUUGCACAAUGGGGGAAAGCCUGAGGCAGCGCGGCCGGGUGGGGGAGGACGGCUUUCGGGUUGAAAACUCCGUUCGCUAGGGCCGAGGCUUUUUGUGACGGUACCUAGAGAAGAAGCACCGGCUAACUACGUG
rnacentral:rRNA from 1 species